UUUCUUUUCAUUUCCAACCUUUCCGCGUUUCAGAGGGAAGCUCCUCUUCUCAAAAUUUAUUUUUCAAUUUUCUCAAAGAAAAACUCUUUAAUACAAAUUAAUUUGUGGAAAAUGCAUCCCCAACUAUUUAACUUCGUGAAAAACCUUAAAGAAGUUGAAAAUAUUCUUUACAUUUUCAGCAGUAAGGAGUUUUCUUCUGAGGUUGAUGAUUCCGGGAGUUGAGGGCUUCCUGGAAUAUCAAUGGAACCAUCUGAACUAGCAAGAUCUUUGUGCUGAUCAGGAGAACUUAAGGAUAAAGCUCAGAAGCACGAUCUUGUAUUUACAGCCGUGGGAGAAUCUUAAGAUUCCGGAAGGCAUUUCUGCUAUUCCGGACGCAAAGACAUGAAGGGGUAGAUAACUACACUUUUGGAGUUCCUUAAUUUUUAUUCACUAAAAUUUUCUAAAAUUUUCUUUAAAUAAAAUUGAAGAUAAGAAAUUUA